UUUUUAUGGAGAGUUUGAUCCUGGCUCAGGAUGAACGCUGGCGGCGUGCCUAAUACAUGCAAGUCGAGCGAACAGACGAGGAGCUUGCUCCUUUGACGUUAGCGGCGGACGGGUGAGUAACACGUAGGUAACCUACCUAUAAGACUGGGAUAACUUCGGGAAACCGGAGCUAAUACCGGAUAAUAUUUCGAACCGCAUGGUUCGAUAGUGAAAGAUGGCUUUGCUAUCACUUAUAGA
rnacentral:rRNA from 1 species